rnacentral:rRNA from 1 species
GCAUAUCAAUAAGCGGAGGAAAAGAAACUAACAAGGAUUCCUUUAGUAACGGCGAGUGAACCGGGAAAAGCUCAAAUUUGUAAUCUGGCUGUCUUCGAUAGUCCGAGUUGUAAUCUAUAGACGUGUUUUCCGUGCUGGAUCGUAUCUAAGUCCCUUGGAACAGGGUAUCAAAGAGGGUGACAAUCCCGUGCUUGAUACGACGACCAGUGCUCUGUGAUACACGUUCUACGAGUCGAGUUGUUUGGGAAUGCAGCUCAAAAUGGGUGGUAAAUUCCAUCUAAAGCUAAAUAUUGGCGAGAGACCGAUAGCGAACAAGUACCGUGAGGGAAAGAUGAAAAGCACUUUGGAAAGAGAGUUAAACAGUACGUGAAAUUGUUGAAAGGGAAACGAUUGAAGUCAGUCGUGUUCUUCAGAUUCAGCUGGUUCUUCCAGUCUACUUCUGUUGAACGGGUCAACAUCAGUUUUGUCCGGUGGAUAAAGGUAGUAGGAAUGUGACUCCCCCGGGAGUGUUAUAGCCUAUUAUUGCAUACACUGGGUGAGACUGAGGACUGCAGCUCGCCUUUUGGCCGGUCUUCGGACACGUUCGAGCUUAGGAUGUUGACAUAAUGGCUUUAAACGACCCGUCUUGAAACACGGACC